GUCUCUGUGGCGCAAUGGGCGAGCACGCUCGGCUGUUAACCGGGAGGCUGGUGGUUCGAGCCCACCCAGGGACG